AUAUACGACCGUACCGCAAACCGACACUGGUGCGCGAGAUGAGUAUUCUAAGGCGCUUGAGAGAACUCAGGAGAAGGAACUCGGCAAAUUGACACCGUAACUUCGGAAGAAGGUGUGCCCUAUUAGUGUGUAGUGAACAACGAAGCAUGAAUGGGUUGCAAAAAAUCGGUGGCUGCGACUGUUUAUUAAAAACACAGCACUCUGCAAACACGAAAGUGGACGUAUAGGGUGUGACGCCUGCCCGGUGCUGGAAGAUUAAAUGAUGGGGUGCAAGCUCUUGAUUGAAGUCCCAGUAAACGGCGGCCGUAACAAUAACGGUCCUAAGGUAGCGAAAUUCCUUGUCGGGUGAGUUCCGACCUGCACGAAUGGCGUAACGAUGGCACACUGUCUCCUCCUGAGACUCAGCGAAGUUGAAAUGUUUGUGAUGAUGCAAUCUCCCCGCGGAAAGACGGAAAGACCCCAUGAACCUUUACUGUAGCUUUGUAUUGGACUUUGAACAGAUCUGUGUAGGAUAGGUGGGAGGCUUUGAAGCAGGGUCGCUAGAUCUUGUGGAGCCAACGUUGAAAUACCACCCUGGUGUGUUUGAGGUUCUAACCUAGGUCCAUUAUCUGGAUCGGGGACAGUGCAUGGUAGGCAGUUUGACUGGGGCGGUCUCCUCCCAAAGCGUAACGGAGGAGUUCGAAGGUACGCUAGUUACGGUCGGACAUCGUGACGAUAGUGCAAUGGCAUAAGCGUGCUUAACUGCGAGACUGACAAGUCGAGCAGAUGCGAAAGCAGGACAUAGUGAUCCGGUGGUUCUGUAUGGAAGGGCCAUCGCUCAACGGAUAAAAGGUACUCUGGGGAUAACAGGCUGAUGCCGCCCAAGAGUUCAUAUCGACGGCGGUGUUUGGCACCUCGAUGUCGGCUCAUCUCAUCCUGGGGCUGUAGCCGGUCCCAAGGGUAUGGCUGUUCGCCAUUUAAAGAGGUACGUGAGCUGGGUUUAAAACGUCGUGAGACAGUUUGGUCCCUAUCUUCCGUGGGCGCUGCAGAUUUGAGGAAGCCUGCUCCUAGUACGAGAGGACCGGAGUGGACACACCUCUGGUGUAUCGGUUGUCACGCCAGUGGCAUUGCCGAGUAGCUAAGUGUGGAAGAGAUAACCGCUGAAAGCAUCUAAGCGGGAAACUCGUUUCAAGAUGAGAUCUGCCGGGGCCUUGAGCCCCCUAAAGAGUCGUUCAAGACCAGGACGUUGAUAGGUCAGGUGUGGAAGCCA
rnacentral:rRNA from 1 species